ACGUAGGUGGCAAGCGUUGUCCGGAAUUAUUGGGCGUAAAGCGCGCGCAGGUGGUUUCUUAAGUCUGAUGUGAAAGCCCACGGCUCAACCGUGGAGGGUCAUUGGAAACUGGGGAACUUGAGUGCAGAAGAGGAAAGUGGAAUUCCAAGUGUAGCGGUGAAAUGCGUAGAGAUUUGGAGGAACACCAGUGGCGAAGGCGACUUUCUGGUCUGUAACUGACACUGAGGCGCGAAAGCGUGGGGAGCGAACAGG
rnacentral:rRNA from 1 species